CUACUGGCCUCCAUCCUGCUUAUAGAACAUGCCAGGAAUGCUUUUCCUCAGGGGGCUUUGCACUUGCUUUGUCCUCUGAUGUAGACAUCUUUCCCCCACUUGUUCUCAGGGCUCCCUCUCUUGUAUAGUCCAACUCUCUGUCCACAUUCUAGUUCCUCUGAUAGAACACCCUUGGCAUUCCUAUGUAACCUAGGACCUCUGCCUCACAAUCACCUGCCACACGUUUACCCAGCUUUAUUUUUCAAAAGGACUUGGUGUUGAUUUCGUAGGGAUGCUGUAACAAAAUACCACAAUUGGGUAGCUUAAAACAACAGAAAUAGAUUCUCUGACAGUUCUGAAGGCCGGUGUUGUUAGAGCCAUGCUCCUUCUGAGGACUCUAAAGAGGACGCCUUCCUAUGUCUUCCUAGCUUCAGGAGGUUGUGGGCAAUUCUUGGUGUUCCUUGGCUCGUUGCCACAUCUCCAUCUUCACAUGACCUUCUUCCCUAGGGGGAUUGGAUAUAAUGCUGCAGAAGAGCCAAGUACACUCACGAGGAUAGAAUUUGGCAGGAGCAGCUGUGACAGUGAGCUGGUGGAUCCCUGGCCAGGAGGGAGCACAAUGAGGAGAGAUUCAGGACUAUCAGAAAUGCAUGAUGCUGUAGAAAGGGAUUGGAUUAUGCCUUCUCACUGGCCCCAGGGCUCUUGGAAGUUGUUCUAGAGAAGCACAGAAAGAAGGGAGCAGGUGCUGGGAGCCACAUCUCCAGUUGAAAAGCAUACAGAACAAUUAUUUACUGAGAACUUAUGAAUGCCAAGAGCUGAUCAUGUGUGGUUGGAGUGGCAAGAGGUUUUGUGAGGAAUAUGAUCUAAAUUAGACCUGUACCAUCCUUUAAAGUACCAUAUUUAAAGUACCAUCCUUUAAGAGACCUUAUGGUAAUAACCAAAGAGUGAAUAAAAAUGUAGCACUGGGAA